CCCUUCUCUCCCUUUCUUUCAACGGGCGAGGUCUUUUUCUUUUUUUGAAAGGCUUCUCGGCCUGGCGAGAGCUUUCUUCGAUUCGAGGGUUUCGAACCUCUCCGGCCCAACCCCCCCCGCGAGCUCUCCACGAUCCCUGCUGCGCUCCCUCAGCCGAAGCUGCUCGAUUCCUCGAUCCUCCGUGGUUCUCUCGGCCUCUUCGGGAGGGAUCUCAGUUCUUGAAGUCCCACCGACAGCGUAAAUCGGUCCGCCACGGCCUCUUGAUCCGUUCCCGCUACGAUUCCUCCUUUUUCUUGGUCCGAAACCCUGGAAAUCUGAGGAUGCGGAGUUGGGGAGGUGAUCGGUGGAGGUGAUGGCGGCUGUGAAGAUAGAGCAGAGCUGUGUGGAGAACAAGCAAUCAGCUGCCGCGUCGAGUUCGUCUAUCUCCGAGGGAAGUUAUGGGUUUUCUAGAAUGUCCCCUGCUGGUUCCAGCCCGGCGACAUCUUCGCCGUCACACAGGAGGACUAGUGGCCCAAUAAGGCGAGCUAAGGGUGGUUGGACACCCCAAGAGGACGAGACAUUAAGGAAAGCAGUUGAAGCUUACAAGGGAAGAUGUUGGAAGAAAAUAGCUGAGUUUUUUCCUGAUAGAACAGAAGUUCAAUGUCUGCAUCGGUGGCAAAAGGUUCUCAAUCCUGAACUAAUCAAAGGUCCAUGGACUCUGGAGGAAGAUGAAAAAAUUAUUAAUCUUGUACAGAAGUAUGGGCCAACAAAAUGGUCUGUUAUAGCAAAAUCUCUGCCUGGCCGCAUUGGAAAACAAUGUCGGGAGAGGUGGCAUAAUCAUCUGAAUCCUUUGAUAAAAAAAGAUGCUUGGACAGUAGAGGAGGAGCUCACUCUUAUGAAUGCUCACCGCAUACAUGGAAAUAAAUGGGCAGAAAUUGCAAAACUUUUAUCUGGAAGGACUGAUAACUCAAUAAAGAACCACUGGAAUAGUUCAUUAAAGAAAAAGUUAGAUUUCUACUUGGCAACUGGUAAACUUCCACCAGUUCCAAAACCUGGUGAGCAUAGUGGUUCGAAAGAUAUAGGGAACCCAACUAGUGGACAUUUGAAUAAAGGGUCAGAUACAAGUACCAAAGCUUUAUCAGAAAUUGCUGGUUCCACACAUUCUCUCCUGCCUUCUGAAUCAUGUAAGUUGGAAGAGCAUGGGGAGUGGUUGGGGCCCUCAACCAUACAAAUUUCUUCUUCAGAAACUUUUACAGGUGUGCCAAUAAGAGAACUUAAUAGUUCUGCUGUUGCAUGCCAAGCACAGGCCAUGCAAGUGGAUAAUAUCUCCAAUGGAUCUGAUCCAGGAGAAAGGUUCUGGAAUGAUAGCAACACUGGCGAAAGUGAUAAAGAUAACAAGAUACCUGGGAUAACUCUGCCCUCUGAACUUUCCUCUACAUUUGGUUCUCUCUGUUAUGAGCCACCUCAGUUAGAAGAUCUUGAUGUUUCUGUAGAUUCUACUCUUUUAAACACACAUGAUGUUAAUCAGCAGUCAUACAGCUUAGGGAUGGUUACAUCCCCUCCUGACUAUUUCACCCCACCCUUUGUGAGUGGAAAGAGUUCAAGCCAGCAUAGUGCUGAAUCCAUAUUAAAGAAUGCAGCUAGGAGCUUCCCUAAUACUCCCUCUAUUUUACGAAGAAGAAAAAGGGAAGCAAAUACACAUCUUCCACCUGAUAGAACUGUGCAAACAGAUCAGAUAAGAAUCCAGGACAGCUCUUGUACUCCUAUAGAAGGAAAAUCUGGAAUUGACCAACAGCCCUCCAAGUUUUCGAAUUUGUUGUGUACAAGUCCAUGUGAUGAUGGUAGAAUUGUGCCAUAUAAUGGUAAGACCUUCAAUGUUUCUCCUCCAUAUCGGUUGAGGUCCAAAAGAACGUCAAUUAUCAAAUCUGUGGAGAAGAAGCUUGAUUUUACAUCAAGGGAGGACAAUAUUGAUGGUAAUGCGAAAUCUCUGAGCUUGGCUAUCAAUAGCAGUUCUCAUAGUGCCGAUUGCAACUGCAACCUUCCAAGCAUGCAGGGGAGGAAACUGAGUGAAUGUCCAGUCGGAUUGGAAAUCUUGGCCAAUGACUCAACCCUCAUACAACCAAGUUUGGCAUGACCUAAGCACAAACGCUCAACGUCCUUUUAGUUCCCUCCUGAUUAUCACUUUUUGCUACUAGCUCUCCGGCAACUCUGGAUUUGAAGUUUCUAGUUCUGCAUUGAUCCAGAAGGACUGAAGACUUGAGAUGUCUUCAUCACCGCAAACAUAGCUCCAAACUAGAAAUUUUGAGAAGUCCUGUUGCCCAAGGACACUUUGGACAAAACCAGUCUCUGCAUCAUACACCGAGGAGUGAGAAAACCAAGAAAGCUUGCACGUUCCAUGUUGACUGUAUGGAUGAUAGCUCUCAUGUUGCAUGUAAUUUUUUAGUACAGAACCGGUAUCCAGAUAAAGUCAAGAUGGUUUGGAUGUUAGAAAAGGCAUCACUUGUAGAUAAACAUUCUCAAAGGAUAAGUUGCUUUAGAAACCUGUAGUUGAAUAAGAGCUUCAGCUAGAAGAAUUAUGUACCUCAACUUGAAAUGCCAAGAAUCAGCUCUAUAUUUCACUAUUA